GCAAUUCCGGUUGAUCCUGCCGGAGGCCACUGCUAUGGGAAUUCGACUAAGCCAUGCAAGUUGAGGGCACCUUUUUAGGAGACCCAGCGAACUGCUCAGUAACACGUGGAUAAUCUGCCCACAGGAUGGGGAUAAUCCUGGGAAACUGGGAAUAAUACCCAAUAGAUCAUUGGCACUGGAAUGUCCUUUGAUCCAAAUGCUUUUCUUACGCCUGUGGAUGAGUCUGCGUCCGAUUAGGCUGUUGUUGGGGUAACGGCCCAACAAACCUAUGAUCGGUACGGGUCGUGAGAGCGAUCGCCCGGAGAUUGGAUCUGAGAUAUGAUCCUAGGCCCUACGGGGUGCAGCAGGCGCGAAAACUUUACAAUGUGGGAAACCAUGAUAAGGGAAUUCCCAGUGUUCCUACAUAGUAGGAACUGUUUAGGUGCGUAAAAAACACCUAAUAGAAAGGGCCGGGUAAGACCGGUGCCAGCCGCCGCGGUAAUACCGGUGGCUCGAGUGGUGGCCGCUAUUAUUGGGUCUAAAGGGUCCGUAGCCGGCUUGAUAAGUUACCUGGAAAAUCCGGUGGCCUAACCAUUGGGCGGCCAGGUGAUACUAUCAGGCUUGGGACUAGGAGAGACCAGAGGUACUCAUGAGGUAGGGGUGAAAUCCUGUAAUCUUAUGAGGACCACCAGUGGCGAAGGCGUCUGGUUAGAAUAGGUCCGACGGUGAUGGACGAAGGCUGGGGGCGCAAACCGGAUUAGAUACCCGGGUAGUCCCAGCAGUAAACGAUGCCAGCUAUGUGUUGCUGAAACCAUGGGUUUCAGCAGUGCCGAAGGGAAGCCGUGAAGCUGGCCACCUGGGAAGUACGGCCGCAAGGCUGAAACUUAAAGGAAUUGGCGGGGGAGUACCACAACCGGUGGAGCCUGCGGUUUAAUUGGAUACAACGCCGGGAAUCUUACCGGAGGGGACAGCAGUAUGAAGGUCAGGCUAAAGACCUUACCAGAUCAGCUGAGAGGAGGUGCAUGGCCGUCGCCAGUUCGUACCGUGAGGCAUCCUGUUUAGUCAGGCAACGAUCGAGACCCGUAGUCUUAUUUGCCAGCAUGCCCUCUGGGGUGUAUGGGGACAAUAAGACGACCGUCAGCGCUAAGCUGAAGGAAGGAGCGGGCUACGGUAGGUCAGCAUGCCCUGAAUCCUCCGGGAUACACGCGGGCUACAAUGGUCAGGACAAAAGGUAUCGACCUCGAAAGAGUGAGAUAAUCCCAUAAACCUGAUCUCAGUCCGGAUCGAAGGCUGCAACUCGCCUUCGUGAAGAUGGAAUCGGUAGUAAUCGUGACUCAAAAUGUCACGGUGAAUAUGUCCCUGCUCCUUGCACACACCGCCCGUCAAAUCACCCGAGUGGGAUCUGGAGGAGGUCUUUCUCGCAGAGGAAGAUCGAAUCUGGAUUCUGCAAGGGGGGUUAAGUCGUAACAAGGUAGCCGUAGGGGAACCUGCGGCUGGAUCACCUCCUA
rnacentral:rRNA from 1 species